CCUACGGGAGGCUGCAGUGAGGAAUAUUGGUCAAUGGGCGCGAGCCUGAACCAGCCAAGUCGCGUGAGUGAAGACGGUCCUAUGGAUUGUAAACCUCUUUUGUCGGGGAGCAAAAGACGCCACGCGUGGCGUUCCGAGAGUACCCGAAGAAAAAGCAUCGGCUAACUCCGUUCCAGCAGCCGCGGUAAUACGGAGGAUGCGAGCGUUAUCCGGAUUUGUUGGGGUUAAGGGGUGCGCAGGCGGGGUUGAAAGUUAGUGGUAAAAUUGCGGGGCUCAACCCCGUACUGCCGUUGAAACUGCAUCCCUUGAGUGCGCGAGAGGUAUGCGGAAUGCGUGGUGUAGCGGUGAAAUGCAUAGAGAUCACGCAGAACUCCGAUUGCGAAGGCAGCAUACCGGCGCGCAACUGACGCUCAUGCACGAAAGCGUGGGUAUCGAACAGGAUUAGAUACCCCUGUAGUC
rnacentral:rRNA from 1 species